UCGCUCUUCAACGAGGAAUCCCUAGUAAGCACAAGUCACCAGCUUGUGCUGAUUACGUCCCUGCCCUUUGUACACACCGCCCGUCGCUACUACCGAUUGAAUGGCUUAGUGAGGCCCUCGGAUCGACUUUCUGAGACUGGCAACAGUCUCUGAUUGUUGAGAAGUUGGUCAAACUUGGUCAUUUAGAGGAAGUAAAAGUCGUAACAAGGUUUCCGUAGGUGAACCUGCGGAAGGAUCAUUAAUGAUUUGGCGAACCUAACGUUAGUUAGGUUUUGCGAUCACUUAUUUAAAACCCAACUCUUAAAUGUAUAAUUUAUGUAUUUCUUGAUAAGAAAAAUAAAGAUCACUUUCAACAACGGAUCUCUUGGCUCUCGCAUCGAUGAAGAACGUAGCGAAGUGCGAUAAGUAAUGUGAAUUGCAGAAUUCCGUGAAUCAUCGAAUCUUUGAACGCAAAUUGCACUUUCUGGUAUUCCGGAAAGUAUGCCUGCUUGAGAGUCAGUUAAAUAAAAAUCGGUGUUGUUGCUGCUAUUAGUGGUGAUGCAUCGGAAUUGAGUUGUUCUUUGCCCUUUGGUUAAGUGACUUAAAAUUUGUACGAUUUUUGAACGUAUUUAAAUUAUUUACGUACGUUCAUAAUAUCAUAUAUUAGGUGCGGUCAUUCUUAUGAUUUCGCGCCUAUAAUUUUUUUCAUUAUUUGACCUCAAAUCAGGUAAGAAUACCCGCUGAACUUAAGCAUAUCAAUAAGCGGAGGAAAAGAAAAUAACAAUGAUUCCCUUAGUAACGGCGAGUGAAGGGGGAUAAGCUCAAAUUUAAAUCUGCUAGGUUUUACCUAUCAGAGUUGUAAUUUGAAGAAGCGUUUUCCGCGUCUCGGUUGACCCAAUCCUUUGGGAUAUGGUAUCAUGGAGGGUGAGAAUCCCGUCCGGUUGACUUUGUGACGCUUUACGAUACGUUUUCAAAGAGUCGAGUUGUUUGGGAUUGCAGCUCAAAAAUGGGAGGUAAAUUUCUCCUAAGGCUAAAUAUUGGCGAGAGACCGAUAGCGAACAAGUACCGUGAGGGAAAGAUGAAAAGUACUUUGAAAAGAGAGUUAAAUAGUACGUGAAAUUGUUGAAAGGGAAACGAUUGAAGCCAGUCGUACUCAUGGGUAAUCAACCUUUCUGGCGCGAUUAUGUGGGCGUGUUGGAGCCUAAUCGGCCCUCGCGUUUUUAUAUUCGUUCCCCUUGGGUGUACUUGCCCGUGCGGUAGGUUAACAUCAAUUUCGGACGUCAUAAAAUGACGGGAGGAAUGUAGCUUUGGUCUCGUACUGAAGUGUUAUAGCCUCUGGUAGAUGUGACGUCUGGGAUUGAGGAUUGCAACGGAUACCUUUCGGGGCUACCUGUCUGGCCUCUGAUGGUUGCUUUGGUGUCGAAAGCUUGCUUACGGUCAUCAAAGUUGAUUGUCAAAAGGUUAGAACAGGUUAAAUUCGUUAAGGAUGUUGACGUAAUGGCUUUAAACGACCCGUCUUGAAACACGGACCAAGGAGUCUAACAUAUAUGCGAGUGUU
rnacentral:rRNA from 1 species